CUUGUCAGCAACGCGGACAAAUCAGUAGUAGCGGAACGCGUACGUGAAUGAAGCGGAGCGAGGGGAGUGAGGCGGUUGGCCGUCCGAGUGUGAACGCCGUCGAGUGUUAUCUAAACAGUUACACAAUGGGGUCGCGACGAACCGGAGCCCAGCCCGGCAACACAGGGCGCGAGGCUGGAGGAGGAGGGGUCACACCCAGGAUGGGACACCAGUCCAUCGCAAGGCACCCCAUGCAGGACUUGAACCCCAGACCCACCGCACCACCGCACCUCCUUGCAAAACACAUCCACCAUUAAUUCUGUGUAUGGGGAACAUGGUUCUAGCUUGUUCUAGCUCACUAAGAAUGUUCUCCAUCAGUGCCCUCAAAGACACAGAAAUAGACUCAAGCCCAGAUAUUCUUCAGUCCACCUCCACAUAUCCAUAUCCUGUCCCCCCCCACAAACACCUACCAGCCCACAAAAACUCCUCUCUUGUGGAGUUAUGGGUGAACAGUGCUUUCUGAGAAUAGCAAGCACAUCAUUCUUGACAGAACUGAGUCAGAAAAAGCACAAAGGAGAAAAAAAAUCUUUUCUGGUUACAUUGCAUUCACACCAGUCCACACCAAACCCACAUUUAUCACCCACAUAUCAGCAUGAAAGCACUAACAAGCUGUGAAGAGUUUCUCAGCUUUUUCCUAUUUAAAAGUAAUCGUGUGACUGUAGAAAAGCUAGCACAAACUCAAACUAGGUUUUAGGUUUUUGCUAGAAGACAAAAGAAAUGAAAGCACUUAAAUUUUCUUGUAGCCUUUGUGAUGCUACUUGGGAUACAUAUACAGUGCUGUAGUAAUAGCAUCUGAGCCCUUUCCAAGUGUUUCUUUUUUUUGCAAUUAGACAUUUUUUUGUCCUUUCUAGCAAUGUAUGAAUGGAGCAUGACACAGAAAAGGUGACACCACUCUUUUUUUUAUGUCAUUUCCUUGGUGUGGAAGAAAAUUAAAUGUACAGUCAUAUGUGUGAAAAAGUAUUUCCCUCCUCACGGUAAAUAAAUAGUUGCACCACAUUUAACUGAAAUGCCUA
rnacentral:lncRNA from 1 species